rnacentral:rRNA from 1 species
AUGCCGGAUGUUCCACAUGAUCGCAUGUGAUUGUGGGAAAGAUUCUAUCGGCGUGGGAUGGGGUCGCGUCCUAUCAGCUUGUUGGUGAGGUAACGGCUCACCAAGGCUUCGACGGGUAGCCGGCCUGAGAGGGCGACCGGCCACAUUGGGACUGAGAUACGGCCCAGACUCCUACGGGAGGCAGCAGUGGGGAAUAUUGCACAAUGGGCGCAAGCCUGAUGCAGCGACGCCGCGUGAGGGAUGGAGGCCUUCGGGUUGUAAACCUCUUUUGUUUGGGAGCAAGCCUUCGGGUGAGUGUACCUUUCGAAUAAGCGCCGGCUAACUACGUGCCAGCAGCCGCGGUAAUACGUAGGGCGCAAGCGUUAUCCGGAUUUAUUGGGCGUAAAGGGCUCGUAGGCGGCUCGUCGCGUCCGGUGUGAAAGUCCAUCGCUUAACGGUGGAUCUGCGCCGGGUACGGGCGGGCUGGAGUGCGGUAGGGGAGACUGGAAUUCCCGGUGUAACGGUGGAAUGUGUAGAUAUCGGAAAAG